rnacentral:rRNA from 1 species
UACAGAGGUGGCAAGCGUUGUUCGGAAUUACUGGGCGUAAAGGGCGCGUAGGCGGCCUACUAAGUCAGACGUGAAAUCCCCCGGCUUAACCUGGGAACUGCGUCUGAUACUGGAAGGCUUGAGUACGGAAGAGGCGAGUGGAAUUCCUGGUGUAGCGGUGAAAUGCGCAGAUAUCAGGAGGAACACCAAUUGCGAAGGCAGCUCGCUGGGACGUUACUGACGCUGAGACGCGAAAGCGUGGGGAGCAAACAGG